AGUGACAUGUGAGAGGCUGAGAGUGACAGAUUAUGGCAAUAACGUAAUCAAGUUAAUUUACAACAUUUAACUUUUAUUAUCAAUGAAAUCAUGAAAAGUAUUAUAAUUAUUCAAUAGUUAUUAUACUUGUAAUCAUAAAAAUGUGGCAUUUACUAAACGCUAACACUUGUACUACUAUACGACAAAGGUUACUACCGAUCAAGAGUAAUGGUUACUUCGUAAAUUUAGUCCAAAAUAAGCCGUCUCAAGCUAUAAAACGGUAUAUAUCAAAUGUUAAAACAUCGAGAGGAAACGAUGCUUCAAAUGGACUACUGUUGCUCUGUAGUCCAUGGAAACUGUGUACAGGCAUCAGUUUAGGGUUAGCUACACGUUUGCUAUAUAAUAAUUAUGUAUAUUGUAAAGCCUUGCCCUCUAGGGUGAUACAGCGUAGACCAAAUGUAAAUGAGGAUAGUGCAAAGUUCGAUUGGAAGAGGUUUUUGGAGUAUCUCCUGCCACACAAAUGGCUCUUGGUUGCUGCUGUUGCUUCAGCCCUAGCUGUGGCAUUCCUGAAUGUCUACAUUCCAGCCAUGUUGGGCGUGAUAGUGAAUGUGCUUGCCGGCGUGAGAAACCAUCCCCCCGCUGACUUCAUUGAAGAAAUCAAGAUGCCUGCUCUAGAGCUGAUCUCAUUAUACAUCGGACAGGCAAUCUUCACAUUCCUGUACAUCCAUCUGCUGGCUCAAGUAGGUGAGCGGGUUGCAGCUCAAAUGAAGCAAGAUCUUUUUGUGUCAAUACUGAAACAGGACAUGGCAUUUUUUGACCAGGAAAGAACUGGUGAAUUAGUAAAUAGGAUUACUGUAGAUGUACAAGACUUCAAGAGUUCUUUUAAGCAAACUAUAUCAGGUGGAUUAAGAGCUAUAACUCAGGUAGUAGGUUCCGCAGUGAGCCUGUUAGUAAUAUCCCCACAUCUGACCGGGCUGACGCUGGUGUGUGUGCCCUCAGUUGUUAUAGGAGGCACAUUCAUCGGAUCACUGUUGAGGAAGCUGUCCAGAGAAGCCCAGGCACAGAUAGAAAAGUCAACGCUAGUAGCUGAAGAAGCGAUAGCGAACGUUCGAACAGUUCGCGCGUUCGCCGGGGAAGAGAAUGAAGCGAGACUGUUUGCUGAGGAAUGCAAAACUGCAGCCGAUCUGAGUAUGGAGUUGGGUUUGGGUGUUGGGCUGUUCCAAGCUGGGACCAAUUUGUUUUUGAAUGGUAUGGUGUUAGCGACAAUGUUUCUGGGCGGACACCUGAUGACCACGGGUCAAAUGACCGCGGGUGACGUCAUGGCGUUUCUCGUCAACGCGCAAACGGUCCAGCGUUCUGUAGCUCAACUAUCGCUGCUCUUUGGAUCAGUGGUCAAAGGACUUAGUGCGGGCGGGAGAGUGUUUGAGUACAUCAACAAAGAACCUAAGAUGGACACGUCGGGUACUAAAGUGAUUAAAUACCACGCAUUCCACGGAGACAUAGAGUUCAAGGACAUCACUUUCGCUUACCCUACGCGACCAGAAGCGAUAGUUCUAAAGAAUUUCAACUUGAAGAUCCCAGCCGGCAAAACAGUCGCCAUUGUUGGAACCUCGGGCAAUGGGAAGUCGACUAUCGCUGCUUUGUUAGAAAGGUUCUAUGACGUCGACAAGGGGUCAGUGACCAUAGACGAGGUGGACGUGCGAGACUUCGAUUGUCGCUGGCUCCGAGGCAGGGCGCUGGGCCUCAUCAGCCAGGAGCCGGUGCUGUUCGCGACCACGGUCAGGGAGAACAUCCGGUACGGCCGGCCGGACGCGAGCGACGCGGAGGUAUACGAAGCAGCGAAGACAGCAAACGCGGAUGGGUUUAUCCGUGGCUUCCCCGACGGCUACAACACGAUGGUGGGCGAGCGGGGCAUGUCGCUGAGCGGCGGGCAGAAACAGCGCAUUGCCAUCGCGAGGGCCGUGCUGAAAAAUCCACCCAUUAUGAUACUCGAUGAAGCUACAAGUGCUUUAGAUUCAGCCAGCGAGCAAGUGGUGCAGACAGCGUUAGAGACAGCGUCCAAGGGCCGCACCGUGGUCGUCAUAGCGCACCGACUGUCCACUGUCAUGAAUGCUGACCUCAUCGUGGUGUUGAGCAAGGGGAACAUUGUUGAGGUACUUUAGAUUCAGCCAGCGAGCAAGUGGUGCAGACAGCGUUAGAGACAGCGUCCAAGGGCCGCACCGUGCUCGUCAUAGCGCACCGACUGUCCACUGUCAUGAAUGCUGACCUCAUCGUGGUGUUGAGCAAGGGGAACAUUGUUGAGGUACUUUAGAUUCAGCCAGCGAGCAAGUGGUGCAGACAGCGUUAGAGACAGCGUCCAAGGGCCGCACCGUGCUCGUCAUAGCGCACCGACUGUCCACUGUCAUGAAUGCUGACCUCAUCGUGGUGUUGAGCAAGGGGAACAUUGUUGAGGUACUUUAGAUUCAGCCAGCGAGCAAGUGGUGCAGACAGCGUCCAAGGGCCGUACCGUGCUCGUCAUAGCGCACCGACUGUCCACUGUCAUGAAUGCUGACCUCAUCGUGGUGUUGAGCAAGGGGAACAUUGUUGAGGUACUUUAGAUUCAGCCAGCGAGCAAGUGGUGCAGACAGCGUUAGAGACAGCGUCCAAGGGCCGCACCGUGCUCGUCAUAGCGCACCGACUGUCCACUGUCAUGAAUGCUGACCUCAUCGUGGUGUUGAGCAAGGGGAACAUUGUUGAGGUACUUUAGAUUCAGCCAGCGAGCAAGUGGUGCAGACAGCGUUAGAGACAGCGUCCAAGGGCCGCACCGUGCUCGUCAUAGCGCACCGACUGUCCACUGUCAUGAAUGCUGACCUCAUCGUGGUGUUGAGCAAGGGGAACAUUGUUGAGAUGGGAACACACAAUCAACUGAAAAAACUGAAGGGUCAUUACUGGAACCUCAUAAAACAACAGGACCAAGAAACAGAAAGCAAGUCGUUAUGAAGAUAGUUGUACCAAAGUGAUUAGUCAAUUUGCCUUAGUGCACUAAUUAAUUUUAUUAUUUAUUUAUGGACAGCAUCAAUCGAGUCAUAAUAGAUAGGUCAAUUAUAAUAUUUUUUAUAUCAAUUAUUAUUUAUUUGGUGGUUCACAGGAGAGGGUUCUGGGUUCGAUUCCCAACUCAUUUUAGUUUUUUAUAAUUGCUCAAUUGGCUCAGGUUUGGUCUGGUGGUGUUAUAAUUCAAAAAACAUUUAUUUAAUUACUAGCGUACACCCGCGACUUCGUCCGCGUGGAAUUCAGUUUUUCAUCGGCAUAUUUGUCAUAUUUUAAAUCCCUUACUAUACGGGAAUAUGGCGAUAAAACAUAGCCUAUGUUAGUCCCUGAUAAUGUUCUUUCUAUUGAAGAAAGAAUUUUUCAGAUUGGGCCAGUAGUUUUGAGUUUAUUCGUUACAUACAAUAAAACGAAUUUUCCUCUUUAUGUUAGUAUAGAUAUUAUGGCAAAUAUUAAAAGCCUAAAAAAAUAAAAGUAUAAAAAAUACAGCCUUUUUAUAAUUUCCAUAUCGUUUGUCUCGAUUGAUCUUGAAUUUGGGUAUAUAUACUGUAGAUAUAAUUUUAUAAAUUUAAGUUUAAAAUGGAAAAUUUCGAAUGAAGUAAACAAUGACAAUAUAUAUGGGCUAUAUGGUAUAUGUAUUAACUAUAUUUUUAGGCACUUAUCAAGAGGUCGUUAUAUAUAGCCAAAUCGGCUUAUACUAGAUUUAACCAAUAGUAAAUCGCUACGCCUACUCGAAGUUCUAACCGUCUAAUACUAGAAGUAGCCACAUUAUAAUUACAUAAAAUAAUUAAUUGAUUAUGACACACGGCUAAAAUUCUCGUGAUACAAGGGGGCCCUUAGUCAUGAGCUGAGCUUGAGUGCACCACUCAACCCCUCUCCUAGCGCGCGAUGCGAGCAGCUGCGCGCCGCCGCUUCGCAAUUUGGAUCGUGCCGCGUUGCAAGAACCAGCUUAUGACUAAGGGCCCCGUAUGGGUUCGAAACUAGUCGGGCAUAGUUCGACCUUAUUUAUAUCACGUGAGUUUUAGUCGUGUUACAUAAUCAAUUAAUAUGAAUAAGACGAUAGUUUAAAUUCUAAAACACAAAAUAAUUAAGUUCCUAGGCAAUCGAUCCAGUGUAAUAAAUACAUAAAUUAACGUGCAAACUGAUUUUUGCAUGUAGCCUUAUAGGUAUAUAGUGUAUAUAGCAAAGAUUUUCUACUAUUAGACAUGGUACGUGCCUACAAAAUCGCCGCAAAAAUUAACCCGAAUUUAGUUAUUCUACUGAGCGCUCACACAUGCACAAUUUUGUGUUUACUUACAUUAUAUAUUUAGCCAUAGUUGGGCACCGUUAAUCAAAUAGUUAACUUCGUUAAUCGUUAAUCCGCUACAAAAAAAGUUAGCUUCGUUAAACGUUAAACCGUUACAUUCCGGAAGAAUUAACGCAAGUUAACGUUAAUCGUUAAUCCGUUAACAUGACUGUGUAAUUUUACAUUUUUAUAUCAUUGUAUGAGAUCACCAUUGGAUAAAUAAGGAUGAGCACCGGGGAAAAGUGCCAUAAUUUGUUUUUUGUUGAUUUUAUCUAUACAUAUUUAACAUAAAUAUAGUAAUUAGUUGAUUUCUUUGAAAAAAAAUCAUUCAUCAUUUCUUUCUUGUCUGUACUUGUUUUUCGCGUCGCGCCGUAAAUAGUAGGCAUUGGAUUAACGAUUAACGGACUUAUGCAUAUUAACGGAAGUUAACGUGUCCGUUAACAUUUUUAAAAGUUAACUUAAAAGUUAAUCCGUUAAUCAAAAUAUUAACUUCGUUAAUUAGCGAUUAACGGAUUAACGAGUUAAUGCCCAGCUAUGUAUUUAGCAGUAGCGAAAACUGAAAUUAUCUCGUAGGUAACACGUUUAUGUGGUUUUUUAGUCUGAAUGUGUUAAUAUAGCCUCAAUAGCUCAACGGUAAGAGCGGUCGGACUCAUCACUGAGGGGUGGUGGUUCGAUCCUCACCCCGUUGGUCUAUUGUCAUACCCACUCCUAGCACAGUCUUUCCCGACUAGUUGGAGGGGAAUGGGUAUUUUGGUCAUAUUUAAAAAGAUAUGGCAAAUAUUCUUAAUAAAAAAAAAACUGAGUACUCGUACGUUAAAUUAUUUACGUACGUAAAACUCGUGGAUAUUUAAAAGGUAACCCCAUAGGAAUCGGGUUCUAAGGAAUCAUCCUCUGAUAUUUAGUUUUUACACUUCCUGAACACACAACUCGACAUGUAGACAGUAUUUAGAUAUUAUCUGUUUAAAUAACAUUGCAACUAAAUGAAAUUAAGUCAAUUAGCCACUUUUGUUUGCCUCAGUUUCGACGCGCUAGGGACAUAUCUAAUAGUAUAAAAUCUUUGUCAUAUAGGUUGUAUAGGGUAGAAUAAAUUCACGGGUUCCAUUCCCAGGCAUGGUUGUCAAUAUUUAUUGAAUCGACAAAUUGUGAUUGUGUUGAAAUAAUUUAUGAUUAAUUGUUAAAUCGGUGAUACAAAGUGUUAUAGCGAUUGGUGGGAGAAAUAAACUGUUUGUUAUAAA